rnacentral:rRNA from 1 species
ACGGGUGAGGAAUACAUCGGAAUCUACCUUUUCGUGGGGGAUAACGUAGGGAAACUUACGCUAAUACCGCAUACGACCUUCGGGUGAAAGCAGGGGACCUUCGGGCCUUGCGCGGAUAGAUGAGCCGAUGUCGGAUUAGCUAGUUGGCGGGGUAAAGGCCCACCAAGGCGACGAUCCGUAGCUGGUCUGAGAGGAUGAUCAGCCACACUGGAACUGAGACACGGUCCAGACUCCUACGGGAGGCAGCAGUGGGGAAUAUUGGACAAUGGGCGCAAGCCUGAUCCAGCCAUACCGCGUGGGUGAAGAAGGCCUUCGGGUUGUAAAGCCCUUUUGUUGGGAAAGAAAAGCAAUCGAUUAAUACCCGGUUGUUCUGACGGUACCCAAAGAAUAAGCACCGGCUAACUUCGUGCCAGCAGCCGCGGUAAUACGAAGGGUGCAAGCGUUACUCGGAAUUACUGGGCGUAAAGCGUGCGUAGGUGGUUGUUUAAGUCUGUUGUGAAAGCCCUGGGCUCAACCUGGGAAUUGCAGUGGAUACUGGGCAACUAGAGUGUGGUAGAGGGUAGUGGAAUUCCCGGUGUA